rnacentral:tRNA from 1 species
GGAGUUGUGCCUGAAGUAAAGGACCACUUUGAUAGAGUGUUACACGGGGGUUAAAAUCCCCCCAACUCCU